rnacentral:tmRNA from 1 species
GGGGGUGUUCCGGAUUCGACUGGGGCGGUUUUGAGCGGCAUGUUGCAGGUGGAGCGCCAUCUCCUGAUUGGCAACCUUUUUUAUCUGCCAACGAAGCAGACUACCUUCCGGUUGCUGCGUAAGUAGCCCGGACGGGCGCGGGGUGCACCGUUCUGAGCGCCUCGUUGCUUGACAGAAACCAGGACUUGCUGCCGGUCAUGCCCGACGGACCGGUGGGACUCUUUGUCGGGAUCGGGCGGUGAUCGGCUUGUUCGGACGCCAAUGUCGCCGCCGACACUCUUAAGACCGGACUAAACCUGUAGAAGCAUGUCGCCGGCUCCUCAGGACAGGGGUUCAACUCCCCUCACCUCCA